rnacentral:tRNA from 1 species
GGGGAUUUAGCUCAGUGGUAGAGCGCUUGCCUAGCAAGCGCAAGGCCCUGGGUUCAGUCCCAAGCUCCA